AUAAAACCUUGAUCGAUAGGUCUGGGUAAUCUUGUGAAUGCGCAUCGUGCUAGGGAUAGACUGUUGCAAUUUUCAGUCUUGAACGAGGAAUUCCUAGUAAACGCAAGUCAUCAGCUUGCAUUGAUUACGUCCCUGCCCUUUGUACACACCGCCCGUCGCACCUACCGAUUGAAUGACUCGGUGAAAAAUUGGGACCGUGAGUCUGUUUGCUUAAUUGCGAGUGGAUUGAUGGGAACUUUUUUAAACCUCGCCAUUUAGAGGAAGGUGAAGUCGUAACAAGGUUUCCGUAGGUGAACCUGCGGAAGGAUCAUUACCACACCUAAAAACUUUCCACGUGAACUGUAUCAACCCCAUUAAUUGGGGGUUUUGUUUGGCGGUGAUCGCUAGCUUAAUUGCUGGUUGAUUACUGCUAGGCGAG
rnacentral:rRNA from 1 species